CUGUUGUCUACUUCUAGACCUAUCUAACGCUUAACAUCUGUCUGACUGAACUUCCUUCCUUAUCCAGCCAGUCUUCCUUUAGUUUGCUGUGAGGAUUUUCCUAACAGCCUCUCCAUCUGUCUGAUCUGGCUCCAGUGGGACAGUCUAACAUCUGUAUCUGGUCUCCUCCAGAUUGGCCAUUUGUGUUACUGACAAAAUCCCUGGUCCCAAAGCAAAAGAGAAUGGCGUACAGUGGAAAUAUGUGAGAAGCAGAAGGCGAAGAGUAUGUAAAGUGCUUCCAGCAUCUUCAUGCAGGUGAACGGAACAGCACCUCGCCACUGCAUCUCAGUGCCUCAGACCUAAACUGAGGAAAUGGAUCAAGAGAUUUCAGAUGAUUAUUCAGUUCAAGGCACAGAAUCAUAAUUGGUCUAGGCAAGAACAUUCUAUACAAUUUUAUCAUUAUUUCCUUUCAUGUUUUAUCACCGAGUCUAUACCCCUAGACUUCCUCAUAUAUAUAUCUUAUCCCUCUAUCUAAUGUAUGUGAUUUUACUUUUCCAUUCCAUAUAUGUAUGUAUGUAUUUCGUAAAAUAUGGGUAAGGCUGUUCCUUGUGUAUAUAUUUAAUCUCCAUAAUAGCGAUGUACUCUAAACUUCAUUCUCUCAAAAAAGUGUUCCUAAAAUAUUAGUUACUAUAUGUGGAUCUAGUUCAUUCCCUUUGAUUGCUUCAUUGCUUUCUAUUUAUGCAUAUAGUGCAUAUUAUUUAUUAAUAUCCUCUCAUUAUUUUCUUUCUCCUUGUGCAUCCAUGUGUUUUUCUGGUACAGAACCCAGAGUCUGGAUUGCUGUGUAAUAGGUUAUGUGCAUACUCUGUUUUACUGAGUACUAAGGUUAUACUCCAAAGUGUCUGCAUCCAUUUGCACUCCCGCUGACAAGAUUUUGCAAAUACUCACCAACAAAAGAUGUGUUUGAUAUGCUUCUUCUACCUAUUUAGGGAUGUAAAAUGAUACCAUAUUGUUAUCUUAAUUUACAUUUAUCAUAUUAGUGAGAUCGAGAAUUGCUUUAUAUAAUUACUAUUGGCCACCAAUCACAUCUUCAUCAGCCGGUACUGCUCUGUUUCCUUGACUGCCUCCUGAGCAUCUCCCUGAAUGGUAAAUAUUGGUGUGUCAGAAGGCUCUAUAUUUGAACAUCAUCUCUUCUCAAUCUAUAAUCACUCUCUUGAUUUUUAAAACCAUCAGUCUAGAUAAGAUCACCAUCCAUGUCCUGAUGACUUACAAAUUUAUAUCUUCAGGCAGGACUUCUCCCUUAUAUCCAACUGCCUUCUUAAUGUGUCCUUUUGGAUAGUCAAUGAGUAUCUUAAAAUGUACUUAUCUGAAAGUGAACUUUUGAUCACCACACCCUCCCUCCAAAAGAGCCCUACUCCUUUGCCAGUCUUCUCCCAUUUUGCUAAGCCUGUGAAAAACUCUUGAAAUUUUCCUUGACUUGUAGCAUUCUCCCGUACUCUACCACCUACCCAUCAGUCAAUUCUUUUGGUUUUAUUAUCAGUAUUUAUUCAGAAUCCAAAUAUCUUCUUUAUAUUUCGAUCAUCAUUCCUCUGCUCCAAGCCAGCAUCAUCUCUUGCUUAGAUUAUUUCAGUAGCCUCUUAUUACACCCAUCUACUUUGACAGACACAGUAACCUUUUAAAACAUGUUUUUCAUCUGGCUUAAAAGUCACCUAUGUCUUUUUGUCUCGUUCACAGUUAAAACCCAAACGCUUACAAUGACAAAAAAAAAGUCCCAUAUGAUUGUUUUAACCUCACCUACCCAUCUGUACUUGCCAACUGUAUUCUAGCUACGCUCUCCUAUUUGAUGAUAUUGAAUAUGCAAGACGUUUUGUCUCAGGGUCUUUGUAAUUGCUGUUUCCUGUCUGGAAUCCUGUUGCCUUGGAUAGCUUCAUGUUUAUUUACCUCUUUUCCUCUGGGUCCAGCUCAAGUGCCACCUUGCUUUUUUAAAAUUUUUUUUGCUGAGGAAGAUUUGCCCUGAGCUAACACCUGUGCCAGUCUUCCUCUAUUUUGUAUGUGGUUGGCUGCUACAGUAUGGUCGCCACCAAGUGAUGUAGGUCUGUGCCUGGGAACCAAACCUGGGAGGCCAAAACAGGGCACACCAAACUUAACCACUUGGCCACAGGGCCGACCCCACCACCUUGCCUUUUAAUUCCUUGUAUCCUGGUUUACUUUUCUUAAAAGUACUCGUUACCACAUGAUAUCUUAUAUGUUUUCUUUUAUGUGUAUGUUUUUCUUUGAUUUGUAUGCUUUUAGAAUAUAAGCUGCGUGAAGGCAGGGACAGUUUUGAUUUGCUCCUUGCCCUAACCCCACUGUUGAAAACAGUGCCUGGCAUUAAAAGAAUAGUAGUAGAAUAAAGAAAUGAUUUUGCUUUUAUCUUAAGUUAUAUUUUGGCUGACAUUAAAAUUAAUAUCCAGCUUUCUUUUGGUUCAUAUUUGGCUGAUAAUCUUUUGGUGCAAAAGGUGUAUAUUUUAAACUUUUCUUUUCCCCACAGUAUUUCUAUGCCUUUGCCCCUUUCUAGUGUGUCACUUUUGGACAACGUGUGUGUGUGUGUGUAUUUUAAAAACAGUUUUAGGUUCCCAACAAAAUUUAGAGGAAUGUGAAGAGAUUUCUCACAUACCUUGUGCCCCAGUGCAUUCAUAGCCUCCCCCGUUAUCAACAUCACUCAACAGAAUGGUACAUUUGUUACGGAGGAUGAAGCUACAUUGACCCAUCAUAAUCACCCAAAGUCCAUAGUUUACAUUAGGGUUCAUUCUUGAUGGUGUACGUUCUGUGGGUUUGGACAAAUGUAUAAUGACAUAUAUCCAUCAUUAUAGUUUCAUACGGAGUAUUUUCACUGCCCUAAAUAUCCUCUGUGCUCUACCUAACAUCCCGUUCCCCAUUCAACCCCUGGAAAUCACUGACCUUUUUACUCUUUCCAUAGUUUUACCUUUUCCAAAAUGUCUUAUAGCUGGAAUAAUACAGUAUGUAGACUUUUCAGAUUGGUUUCUCUUACUGAGUAAUAUUCAUUUAAGGUUACUCUGUGUCUUUUCAUGGCUUGAUUUGUUUAUAUUUUUAAGUUCAGACUGAGAAUCCUCAUCUUAUGUUGCAUGUUUAGCCUGUUUUUAUUUACUAUAAUUUCAAUUAUUCUAGGACUUGUUUCUGUAAUUUUUUGAUCAUUUUUAUUUACCAUGCACUCACCUACAAGUUUCAGACUAGCUUUCUGUGCUUUCCAGUGAGUACUUGGUGGCUGUCUGGGGGUUCUACCAUUACCUCUAAC
rnacentral:lncRNA from 1 species